rnacentral:rRNA from 1 species
CAGCCGCCACGGGAACACGUAGGGUGCGAGCGUUAAUCGGAAUUACUGGGCGUAAAGCGUGCGCAGGCAGUUGUGUAAGACAGGUGUGAAAUCCCCGGGCUUAACCUGGGAACUGCGCUUGUGACUGCACAGCUAGAGUAUGGCAGAGGGGGGUGGAAUUCCACGUGUAGCAGUGAAAUGCGUAGAGAUGUGGAGGAACACCGAUGGCGAAGGCAGCCCCCUGGGCCAAUACUGACGCCCAUGCACGAAAGCGUGGGGAGCAAACAGGAUUAGAUACCCCCGUAGUCCCUGUCUCUUAUAC